AAAUUGAAGAGUUUGAUCAUGGCUCAGAUUGAACGCUGGCGGCAGGCCUAACACAUGCAAGUCGAACGGUAACAGGAAACAGCUUGCUGUUUCGCUGACGAGUGGCGGACGGGUGAGUAAUGUCUGGGAAACUGCCUGAUGGAGGGGGAUAACUACUGGAAACGGUAGCUAAUACCGCAUAACGUCGCAAGACCAAAGAGGGGGACCUUCGGGCCUCUUGCCAUCGGAUGUGCCCAGAUGGGAUUAGCUAGUAGGUGGGGUAACGGCUCACCUAGGCGACGAUCCCUAGCUGGUCUGAGAGGAUGACCAGCCACACUGGAACUGAGACACGGUCCAGACUCCUACGGGAGGCAGCAGUGGGGAAUAUUGCACAAUGGGCGCAAGCCUGAUGCAGCCAUGCCGCGUGUAUGAAGAAGGCCUU
rnacentral:rRNA from 1 species